GCACUAUCUCAGUCGAGAUUCCUACGGGAGGCAGCAGUGGGGAAUAUUGGACAAUGGGGGCAACCCUGAUCCAGCCAUGCCGCGUGAGUGAAGAAGGCCCUAGGGUUGUAAAGCUCUUUCAGGUGUGAGGAUGAUGACAGUAGCACCAGAAGAAGCCCCGGCUAACUUCGUGCCAGCAGCCGCGGUAAUACGAAGGGGGCUAGCGUUGUUCGGAAUUACUGGGCGUAAAGCGCGCGUAGGCGGAUUGGAAAGUUGGGGGUGAAAUCCCGGGGCUCAACCCCGGAACUGCCUCCAAAACUCCCAGUCUUGAGUUCGAGAGAGGUGAGUGGAACUCCGAGUGUAGAGGUGAAAUUCGUAGAUAUUCGGAAGAACACCAGUGGCGAAGGCGGCUCACUGGCUCGAUACUGACGCUGAGGUGCGAAAGUGUGGGGAGCAAACAGGAUUAGAUACCCUGGUAGUCCACACCGUAAACGAUGAAUGCCAGACGUCAGCAAGUAUACUUGUUGGUGUCACACCUAACGGAUUAAGCAUUCCGCCUGGGGAGUACGGUCGCAAGAUUAAAACUCAAAGGAAUUGACGG
rnacentral:rRNA from 1 species